CGAAGGGGCUAGCGUUGUUCGGAAUUACUGGGGCGUAAAGGGCGCGUAGGCGGUACUUCAAGUCAGGCGUGAAAGCCCCGGGCUCAACCUGGGAACCGCGCUUGAGACUGGAGAACUAGAGUUCGGGAGAGGAUGGUGGAAUUCCCAGUGUAGAGGUGAAAUUCGUAGAUAUUGGGAAGAACACCGAUGGCGAAGGCAGCCAUCUGGACCGACACUGACGCUGAGGCGCGAAAGCGUGGGGAGCAAACAGGAUU
rnacentral:rRNA from 1 species